GGCGGACGGGUGAGUAACGCUUGGGAAUCUGCCUGUUAGUGGGGGACAACCCGGGGAAACUCGGGCUAAUACCGCAUACGCACUACGGUGGAAAGCCGGGGACCGCAAGGCCUGGCGCUAACAGAUGAGCCCAAGUCGGAUUAGCUAGUUGGUAGGGUAACGGCCUACCAAGGCGACGAUCCGUAACUGGUCUGAGAGGACGACCAGUCACACCGGAACUGAGACACGGUCCGGACUCCUACGGGAGGCAGCAGUGGGGAAUAUUGGACAAUGGGCGAAAGCCUGAUCCAGCGACGCCGCGUGGGUGAAGAAGGCCUGCGGGUUGUAAAGCCCUUUCGGUGGGGAAGAAAAGCCUCGAGCUAACACCUCGGGGUCUUGACGUAACCCAUAGAAGAAGCACCGGCUAAACUCUGUGCCAG
rnacentral:rRNA from 1 species